GAAGAAAUUUUUGGCCAAUAUUGUCAGUGUGAUACAUUUUCCUGUGAACGCGAUUCCGAAGGCAAAAUUUGUGGCGGACCUUCACGAGGAAUUUGUUGUGGAAAGUGCAUUUGUCAACCUGGUUGGACUGGAGAUGAUUGUGAUUGUACUGAAGAUCAGAGUACUUGUAUAGCUUCCAUAGGAAAUAGUGAACCUUUGGUUUGCAGUGGUCAUGGUGAUUGCAUUUGUGGAAAAUGUAAAUGUCACAAUGAUGAACAUGGGUCAUAUACAGGCCUUUACUGUGAAGACUGUAAUACUUGUGAAGGUCAUUGUAAUAUCAUUAGAGACUGUGUUGAAUGCACUGUCUUUGAAUCAGGUGUGUUAACAGAAGAAGAAUGUUUAAAUUGCACUUCAUACAGAAUUCAAACACAGGAUGAAGUCAAAGUUGAAAAUAAAAAUGAGAAACUGUGUGUGUUCAAAGAUAAUGAUGGAUGUUCUUUUACAUUUAAAUAUACUUAUAAUGAAAGUAAUGAACUUUAUAUUUUUGCACAGAACAUUAAAGGU